rnacentral:rRNA from 1 species
CCUACGGGUCGCACCAGUGAGGAAUAUUGCACAAUGGGGGCAACCCUGAUGCAGCAACGCCGCGUGGAGGAUGAAGGCCCUCGGGUCGUAAACUCCUUUUUUGGGGGAAGAGCAAGGACGGUACCCCAAGAAUGAAUCACGGCUAACUACGUGCCAGCAGCCGCGGUAAUACGUAGGUGGCAAGCGUUAUCCGGAAUUACUGGGCGUAAAGCGCACGCAGGCGGUUGGUCAAGCCUGAUGUGAAAGCUCCUGGCUUAACCGGGAGAGGUCGUUGGAAACUGAUCGACUUGAGGUAAUGAGAGGGGUGUGGAAUUCCCGGUGUAGUGGUGGAAUGCGUAGAUAUCGGGAGGAACACCAGUGGCGAAAGCGGCACCCUGGCAUUGACCUGACGCUCAUGUGCGAAAGCGUGGGGAGCGAACGGGAUUAGAUACCCCUGUAGUC